UAUACUUAUUUCUAACCUCCCCUCUCCAAGAGCCGCCAGCAACCCCCACUUUCUUUCACCCCCUAUUCUUUUUGGUGAAAGCCGCCAUCGCUGGUGAGCUCUCCCUGUUGCUUCUCCUCUCUUCUCCUCCUUUUUAUUUUCCUCCUCUCUCCUAUAAUAGAAGGUUGCGACCAGCGGCUCCAGCAACUGGAGAAUAGAAGCAACACCGUCCAGCAGCAACGGAGGCUCGCACUUGCCGACUCCUCUCUUCUCUCUUCUCCAGGAGAAGAACCGGUGAGCUCCGACCAGAGGGCGCCAGCUCGGACAGCCAGUAGAUGGUGUUGCUCCAUCGGCUUCUCUCUUCUCAUUUCUGGCGAGAACAAUAGCUAGCAACAAUAACAACCAUCUUCGGGGAAAAACAGGCAGCGAGGAGACACCACCAGCAGCGCAAGAAGAUCAAGAACGACAAUAAUGAAAACUUCUCGCUGCCAAUGUUCUGAACCAGAGAUAAAAGUGAAGUAUUGGACAAGGACUAAUCUCUAUAGAUCAGUCCCAGGUUCCAGUUGUUGAAGGGCUUCUCGAGACGACUUGAAGAAGACUCGAAUCUCUUAUUCAUCCAAGUAGGGUAGGUCCUCAAUUCCGAGGGAGAUUACACUUAGUUAAAAACUUUUAUGGUUCUUUCUUUUCCAUUUAGUAUGAAAUUGUAUAUCCCAUGUGAGGCAUUCUUACUUUGAUGUAUGGGCUAGGACCAAUUUUAAAUACUCUUAUUAGAUGGUUAUGAGAUGAGACGACUAUUAUGACUAUGUUAUGUUUAUAUAUAUCUAUGUGCAAUAAAAGUAGAAGACUAAGUAAUUCUCGGGUCUAUGUAUGCUUGAUAUAUCUCUAAUACGUCUAUGCAGAGGUCUAUAUAAACCUCAAUGUAGAUGUAGUAAAAAUUUUAAACUUUCCUCUAAAUAUGACCUGUGAAUGUAAUGAUGUAAGCUAAGAGGCUAGUCUUAUUUCUCAAAGAGGACGACGAUGCCGGUUACAUCUAGGGGGUGUUCCCCAGAUGUGACAAAAGACUAAUGGUUCAAGGAUAUAAUUGUGAAAUUUAAGUUAAGUAUAUGCUUCAAGUAUAAUUUAGCUUCUA